rnacentral:rRNA from 1 species
UACGAAGGGGGCUAGCGUUGCUCGGAAUCACUGGGCGUAAAGCGCACGUAGGCGGAUUGCUAAGUCAGGGGUGAAAUCCUGGAGCUCAACUCCAGAACUGCCUUUGAUACUGGCGAUCUUGAGUCCGGGAGAGGUGAGUGGAACUCCGAGUGUAGAGGUGAAAUUCGUAGAUAUUCGGAAGAACACCAGUGGCGAAGGCGGCUCACUGGCCCGGUACUGACGCUGAUGUGCGAAAGCGUGGGAGCAAACAGG